rnacentral:rRNA from 2 species
AGCAGCCGCGGUAAUUCCAGCUCCAAUAGCGUAUAUUAAAGUUGUUGCAGUUAAAAAGCUCGUAGUUGAAUUUCGGGGUUAGUAGGUUGGUCAUGCCUCUGGUAUGCACUGGCCUCACUGAUUCCUCCUUCCUGAUGAGCCGUAAUGCCAUUAAUUUGGUGUUGCGGGGAAUUUGGACUGUUACUUUGAAAAAAUUAGAGUGUUUAAAGCAAGCUAACGCUUGAAUACAUUAGCAUGGAAUAAUGAAAUAGGACGUUCGAUCCUAUUUUGUUGGUUUCUAGGAUUGACGUAAUGAUUAAUAGGGAUAGUUGGGGGCAUUAGUAUUCAAUUGUCAGAGGUGAAAUUCUUGGAUUUAUUGAAGACUAACUACUGCGAAAGCAUUUGCCAAGGAUGUUUUCAUUAAUCAAGAACGAAAGUUAGGGGAUCGAAGACGAUCAGAUACCGUCGUAGUCUUAACCAUAAACUAUGCCGACUAGGGAUCGGAUGAUGUUAAUUUUUUAAUGACUCA